rnacentral:misc_RNA from 1 species
AAGUCGUAACAAGGUUUCCGUAGGUGAACCUGCGGAAGGAUCAUUAUUGAAUAAACCUGGCUUGGUUGAUGCUGGUCUUUUCGGAGACAUGUGCACGCCUUGUCAUCUUUAUAUCUCCACCUGUGCACUUUUUGUAGACCUGGAUUCAACUUUCCGAGGAAACUCGGUUGUGAGGAAUUGCUUAAUAGGCUUUCCUUGUUAGUUUCCAGGGCUAUGUUUUCAUAUACCCCUUAUGAAUGUAACAGAAUGUCAUUAUUAGGCUUAAUUGCCUUAUAAACUAUAUACAACUUUCAGCAACGGAUCUCUUGGCUCUC